rnacentral:rRNA from 1 species
CCCUUAGAUGUUCUGGGCUGCACGCGCGCUACACUGAACAGUUCAACAAGUCUUAACCUUGGCCGAUAGGUCUGGGUAAUCUUUGAACGCUGUUCGUGAUUGGGAUAGACCUUUGCAAUUAUGGGUCUUCAACGAGGAAUUCCUAGUAAACGCAAGUCAUCAGCUUGCAUUGAUUACGUCCCUGCCCUUUGUACACACCGCCCGUCGCUCCUACCGAUUGAAUGGUCCGGUGAAGCGUUCGGACCGUGGCCUUUGGACGGUUCGCCGUCUGUUGGCUGCGGGAAGUUCGUUAAACCUUAUCAUUUAGAGGAAGGAGAAGUCGUAACA